GCUGUCCUUAGUACGAGAGGACCGGGAUGGACGCACCGCUGGUGUACCAGUUGUCCCGCCAGGGGCACCGCUGGGUAGCUAUGUGCGGACGGGAUAAGCGCUGAAAGCAUCUAAGCGUGAAGCCCCCCUCAAGAUGAGAUUUCCCACCGCGUGAAGCGGGUAAGAUCCCUCGAAGAUGACGAGGUCGAUAGGUCCGAGGUGGAAGCGUGGCGACACGUGGAGCUGACGGAUACUAAUCGAUCGAGGGCUUAACCUAG
rnacentral:rRNA from 1 species